AAUAACUCUAACACUUUCAGACCAGAGCAAGUUGAAAUCCAUGUGUCCACUGCUUCCAGCUGUGCGCCAGUUUUUGUGCUGAUGAACCACAGAAGGCCUCCCUCAGCAGUAUCUUCAAGCAAAAUACCUGCAGUCACUGAUGGAAGGGCCUUUCUGUUCUGCACCGGUUGUGAACAAGCAGCAGGACAGCAUCUCCAACCACCCGGGCUGAGGCCACUGAUUCACAUGAAAUAUCUUGGUACUUUUCUUACCCAUGGGCGGAAUGAGCAGCCACCAGAGAACAACUACUGCCUCUUUCCUGAAGAUUGAAGUAUCCCAAAUCUGCUUUAUCAAGACAGGCUCUGUACCCUCUUCAUUGGGUGGCACUCCUCCUGGUGGGAAUGGCAUUGCAAUCUGUGAGCUGGACACAAGGGCCUGAUCAAAAUUUCAGUCCCUGCGUGUGAUAUAUGGCGAUGGGAAAUCAUUUGCAGAAGAGAUCCUCGUGUGGGAGUAGACCAAGAAAAAU
ensembl:lncRNA